GACAGCAAAUUCGGAUUGAACAAAAUACAAAAUCUGUUGACAACGUCAAUCUUAACUUACUUUUCCAACCGUAAAGAAGUCUGUCUAAAGAUAUCAGCCAUGUCUCUUGUACGCCUACUAGCCAUCUUCGCCAUCUGCCUAGUUAUUUGCUCACUAAAUGUCGAAGCAAAUUCUAUUAGCAUCCCAAGUGCCUCUCGAGGUCAGCGUUCCGUCGACGAAGAAGCUUAUUUCAUGGACGAUGCCGAAGAAGGGCAAGAUGAAAUGGAAGAACGUCAAGUUGAAACAUCUGUUGAGGCAAAACGCAUCAACAAACUAUGGAAAAAGGCUAAUCCCAUCGCCUGGACCAUCAAACGACUUUAAUACAACAAUAAAGCAUAGAUUCAUUUUCAUCGUUGAUUACGUUCUUUUCAUUCCCGAUUUCAAUACAAUCGGUUAUUAAUACUGGCUUUCCCGAGUUUGUUUUAGAUAACUUGUGGUUUUGCGAUUAACAGUAACUUUGGUAAAGGAAACCAAAUAAAAUGGGCACCUCCCAAUAAAUUGGGGCUCCAAUAAUCUGAUGUAGAUAACUGAUACUUAUUGGAACAUCUGUAUAGCAUGUUGGGUAUUCACUAACAUGAUGGCUUCGUCUAAAGAUGUCUGUCGUUCCCUGCUGGUAUUUGUAGGAAUUUACUGUCUUGUUGCAUCAACAGAGCCGAUUGGUGAUGCCAUCGUUGCUGGGCCUAAUCUCAACUCUGUGCCUUCCCCAGAAGGAAAUCCAAUGGAGAAACGAUGGGUUAAAACAUUUUUUAAAGACCAUGGGACGUGGAGAUGGCUAGUAGAUAAAACAAUAGAAGGCGUUAAAAAUGCGAAAAGCAAAGGGCGAUAAGGAUAAAGACGAAGUUGUGGUUGCUGUUUUUGCAUCAUUCAUCUAUUGCAUUGUAUCAGAGAUUGUAUACAAAAACGAAAGCACAAGAAACGAUAUGGCAAUACACCUUAGCAAAAUAAUUCAAUAAAUCCAGCUCUGUUUUCAUUUUUUGUUUCAAUAUUUACGCUAUAUUAACAGACAACGCGUCCAUUGAAAACAAAAUAAAAUUUAGAUUACGGUAAAUCAUGCAAUAUUUUGCUCAAACUACUACGGGUAUGAUAUUCUUUGCUUAGGUUCUAGUAAAUUUUAAAUGAUUAUGUCGACUUACGAACCCCAGUUAAAAUGAAAAAACCAAUUCGAGUGAAGUUUAACGAUAAAGCGAUAAAAAAAGAGGAAGUGGUCGCUAUAUUGAAUUUUUUGUCGCUAUUGACUCAAACAGCAGAAAAAACGAAUACCAUAAUUCAUUCGUUGACAAAAUGUCGAUUUGGAAACUAGCUUGCUUUUUCGUCCUGGUCUUGUUUGUUAGUGAUUUUGUCACAUUUACAGAUGCUAGCCCAUCAUUACCUCGUCCAAUCGACCAAUCGGUUGAAGGAAUCAAUGGCUUUUCUUCAGAGAAGCCACUGGAGAAACGAUCUGUUCGUAGUCUGACGUCAUCAACUGGCAUGGAGAGAGACCAACGUUUGUUCUGGAAGGUGACAUGGUUGGUUAAAACCGUUAACGGUAUUUCCAACGCUGUGAAAAAGGGAUGAAGGGGUUGAAAUAAUAAAGAUUGGGGCAGAAAACUCUUCUGACGUCCACAAUCAAAUAGCAUUACGUCUGACAUUUCAUGACUAUAAAAAAAAAAAAACAAUAAACGAGCAAAAAUACAAGUGUUGUGUGUCA